rnacentral:rRNA from 1 species
AUUGAACGCUGGCGGCAGGCUUAACACAUGCAAGUCGAACGAGUGGCGGACGGGGGAGUAAUGCUUGUGAAUCUAGCUUAUGGAGGGGGAUAACUACGGGAAACUGUAGCUAAUACCGCGUACCAUAGUAUGAGCCCAAGUGGGAUUAGGUAGUUGGUGGGGUAAAGGCUCACCUAGCCGACCAUCUCUAGCUGGGCUGAGAGGAGGACCAGCCCCACUGGGACUGAUACACGGCCCAGACUCCUACGCGAGGCAGCAGUGGAGAAUAGUGCGCAAUGGGGUCAGCGUGACGCAGCCAUGCCGAGUGACUGAAGGAGGCCUUCGGGUUGUAAUGUUCUUUCGGUAGUGAGGCGUUAACUACAGAAGAAGCACCGGCUAACUCCGUGCCAGCCGCCGCGGUAAUUC